ACGAAAUGCUGCUUCCAUUCAAGAAAGGUAAACCCACAUUGCCUGAUAAUAGAGCAUCAGCCCUACAGCGAGUGAUGCAACUGAAAAGUCGCUUGCAGAGAGAUGAACAAUAUGCACAUGAUUACCGUUCAUUUAUGGACACUAUGAUUCAAAAGGGAUAUGCGGAGAAAGCACCAUUGUAUGAGGUCAACAAUGUGUGGUAUGUGCCUCAUCAUGGAAUCUAUAUAUCGACCCAAGAAACCCGAAAAGCUGCGCAUAGUGUAUGACUUUAGUGCUCGGCACCAUGGUGUAUCACUGAACGAUAAUUUGUUAAAGGGAACAAAUAGCUAUUCAAUGUGACAUUGAAGCCAUGUUUCAUCAGUUUGUCGUAGCAGAACACUACAGAGAUUAUUUACGUUUUCUCUGGUGGGAAGAUGGUUUUGACUCGAACCCUAUUGACUAUAGAAUGUGUGCACACUUCUUCGGUGCUGCCUCGUCGCCUGGUUGCACCAAUUACGCCCUUAAGGAAAUUGCGAAAGAUUAUGAAUUCAAGCAUGGAACCGCUGCAGCAAAGUUCAUACAGAAUGAUUUCUAUGUUGAUGACGGAUUCACGUCUGUUUCAUCUGUGCGUGAAGCCUUAGAUCUGAUAGACAGUGCGAAGAAGUUGUGUGAAGAGGGAGGCCUCAGACUUCAUAAAUUUGUGUCUAAUUCUACGGAAGUGCUGUCUGCCAUUCCAAGAAAGGAUGUGGCAAAGGAGAUCAUUCAGAUUUCGGAUAACUUUGAAGGAUCAACCCUUGGUGUGACGGAGUGUCCUGUCUAUUCUGAACCCGAUACAUGAUCCGCUGGGAAUGACUGCGCUGGUGUUAUUGACUGGAAAACAAAUCAUGCAGGAGACUUGUAAGUGUCAGUUAGCCUGGGAUAAUCCUCUUCAAGAUGAUUUGCGAUCCCGAUGGGAAAGGUGGCGAAGUAAGCUCUUCUUGUUAGAAAGAUGUAGAGACACCUCGUUGUUAUAAGUCAUCAAAUGUAGGCAAGGUAGAAUCCAUGCAACUGCACCAUUUCUCAGAUGCAAGUACCACAGGGUAUGGACAGGUAUCACAUCUCAGAAUGAUUGACGAUUCUGAUAAUGUACACUGUGCAUUUGUUACUGGUAAAUCUCGUGUUUGUCCCAUGAAGACUGUGACUAUUCCCCGUUUAGAGUUCGCAGCAUCUUGUGUAUCAGUACGAGUGAGUCAGUUCUUCCAGCGUGAACUAAGAUAUGACAACAUUGAAGAAGUAUACUGGACUGACAGCAAAGUAGUAUUAGGGUAUAUUGCCAAUGAAUCCAGUAGAUUUCACGUGUUUGUAGCCAACAGGGUACAGUUUAUUUGAAAACAUUCCAGUCCGAGCCAGUGGAGACAUGUGUAUGGAGUAGAAAACCUGGCUGAUAUUGCGUCGAGAGGAAUCGAACCUGGGAAACUGAUGGAAUCCUCAUGUUUCACUGGACUAUGGAACAAGUGUCUUUCAAAUGCUACAAAUGAAAGUGUUGCUGGGUCAUCUGAUGACCCAGAAGUGAAAGCUGUGAAAACUUUCUCGUAUACACUUUUGAUCUGCAAUAUCUUGAAAGAAUCUCGAGUUGGGAAAGAGUUAAAAGGGUUAUUGCACUGUGUUUGAAAUGGAAGCAAAAAUUGCUCAAACUCACACCUGAAUUUUUUUCCAAGUGUUCAGUAGUAGAUUCUAUUUGUGUUAGUGACUUGAUGGAAGCAGAGAGUGUAAUCAUUAGACAUUUUCAAGAAGAAGUGUUUUCUUGUGAAUUGAGAGCUCUGUACUCUAUGGAGAAGUCGUCUGAAAGUGAGAGACUAGAAUGAAUGUAUGAAGCGUAAGCAUGCACUCAGAAAUGUAAGUGGUACUAGCCCAGUUAAUAAGUUAGCCCCAUCUGUGGACUCGAAAGGGAUCCUACGAGUUUGAGGUAGACUAGGGAAUGCCAGCUGGGAAUAUGAGUUGAAACACCCGGUGAUCCUCCCAAAGAGGCAUCAUAUGACGAACAUGGUAAUCAGGCACUAUCAUGAACUUACUGGACAUCAAGGUCGUGGAAUCACUAUGAACAGGAUCCACAGCAGUGGAUACUGGAUAAUCAAUUGUGCAUCUGAAGUAACAUAUGCAAUUUUGAAGUGUGUUCCAUGUAGAAAACUGCGUAGGGCUGCCAAGAGCAGAAGAUGGCUGAUUUGCCAGCCGACAGGUUGGAACAAGCUCCCCCAUUUAGCUAUUGUGGAAUCACCAUGUUCGGACCGUUCUAGAAGGCCGGAAGGAUCGGAAGAAAUAUGGAGCCGUAUUCACUUGCUUCUUAUGUAGAGCCGUGCACAUUGACGAACUCACUAUCAACUGACUCAUUCAUUAAUGCUCUGCGCAGAUUUAUUGCAGUUCGUGGACCAAUUCGUCAGCUGAUGUGUUUAAUUUUAUUGGUGCUAGAAGUGAAUACUUCAAUCAUGAGCAUGUGAAAUAAUUCUUGCUCAGAAGAGAUUGUGACUACUUCACCAUCAAGAUGAAUGCUCCAUCCGCCAGUCACACGGGGGGAGUGUGGGAGCGCCAGAUUCGCAGUAUCAGAAACGUGCUGUCUGGACUUAUGAGUGCACACAGCCAGCAGUUGGACAAUGAAGGACUUCAAACAUUGAUGGCUUAAGUCAUGGCGAUUGUCAACAGUCGACCUCUUGCUGUUGAAACUCUCAAUGAUCCAAAAUAAUUGGAACCAAUCACACCAAAUCAUUUGCUGACUAGUAAGACUAGUAUCAUCCUACCGCCUCCAGGUAUAUUUCAGAAGGAAGAUGUUUACAGAAUUUACAGGCACGUCAGAGGUGGCUGAGACCACGCAGAGACUUUCGAAAGGGUGACAUUGUGCUAGGUAAAGAUGAGAAUGUACCACGGUGUUCAUGGAAGCUAGCUCGUGUGGACGAAGUAUUUCAUGGUAGUGACAACAUGGUGCGCAGGGUAAAGGUUGCUGUAGCAGAUGCAUCUCUGUCCAGUGUAUGAAGACGUACAGAACAGAUCAGCUAUCUCGAGAGACCUAUUCAGAAACUUGUUCUGAUUCUUGAAUCAGAAGAUAAUACAAGUGCCAAAUAGACACUCAAAUGAUAUCCAUGUAGGGAGUUUAUGUGAUAUCAAAUGAACAUUUAAUGCUUCAAGUAUAUUGGAGCCAUUAUUUUACAUGGACAUUUACUGCUUACAAUAUCUUGGCAGUAUAACCUCACAUGAACUGAUUAAUGUUAUGCAUCAUUUUCAAGUUAGGAUAAUUUUAUUGUCUUAAAGCUGGUCAUAGAUUUUCUUUCAUCAGCGUUUAACAGUGUAAUGUGUUAUUGCAAUCAUAUUGCUUAUGCCAGAGUAAGAGUCUAGAAUUAUUGUCUUAAUUUUAUGAUAGAAUUAAGUAUGUAGAAGAGGUUGUUUCUUCGAGACAAUUUGUAGUUUCUCUCAUUUUAUGGAAAAUUAGAUAAGUGUUCUAAUUUUGAGGGGAGUGUAACAGUAGCCGGCGAAAUCGCACUUUUAUUUAGCGGCUAGCGUUGGUAGCAGGUUGGAGCUGCUUCCCUUGAACGGGUGGUGACGAUGUGUGCUCUAGAGAAAAAAUGGACGGGUGCGAUGCGUGUCAGAUUUGUAUCCAAGGGAAUAAUUGACUGUUUUGACGGUCCACACCUAUGAGUUAUUGUCUUAUUAUGCGUGCGAAGAAGUGUAACAAUGGCAAUGGAUCAGUAAACAGAAAACAAGA
rnacentral:lncRNA from 1 species